UACAGAGGGUGCGAGCGUUGUCCGGAAUCACUGGGCGUAAAGGGCGCGUAGGCGGGCGACCAAGUCAGGGGUGAAAUCUUUCGGCCCAACCGGAAAAGUGCCCCUGAUACUGGCCGCCUCGAGGGGGGUAGGGGCAUGCGGAACUUCCGGUGGAGCGGUGAAAUGCGUAGAUAUCGGAAGGAACGCCGGUGGCGAAAGCGGCGUGCUGGACCCCUUCUGACGCUGAGGCGCGAAAGCCAGGGGAGCAAACGGG
rnacentral:rRNA from 1 species